rnacentral:rRNA from 1 species
UACGUAGGGUGCGAGCGUUAAUCAGAAUUACUGGGCGUAAAGCGUGCGCAGGCGGUUCGCCAAGUCAGGGGUGAAAUCCCCGGGCUUAACCUGGGAAUUGCGCUUGAAACUAGCGGGCUUGAGUGUGGCAGAGGGGGGUGGAAUUCCACGUGUAGCAGUGAAAUGCGUAGAGAUGUGGAGGAACACCGAUGGCGAAGGCAGCCCCCUGGGUCAACACUGACGCUCAUGCACGAAAGCGUGGGGAGCAAACAGG